AACUUUGUCCAAAAGUUUCCACAGCAUUAGACAGUACGCGGGGAGAGCUA
rnacentral:snRNA from 2 species